rnacentral:lncRNA from 1 species
GACUGGUUUGGGAGGUGGGGCAGUUUAAACUAGUAAUUUUUCCUUCGCAGGUCUCAUAGAGCCCAGGGCUUCUUCCCAUGUAUCCUAGGGAUAAAGAUGACAUCCUCCGUUCACACGUUGUGCUGCAUCGGGGAAGGCUCUAGCACGCACACACACAGUGUCACUGUCUGCCACCUUCUGCAUGGCAACAGGCAGUGAGAACAGCACCACUGCAGGGAUUGGUCAUCGGGGAGAUGGUUCUCAAGGCAGCCUGGAGGGGUGAGAGUGAAAGCUGACUAUUUCUGCCUUGGCUGGGGAAAUGGUUCUGGCCAAUGUAUUUACAGCAGCCACCCUGGCAUCCAGGAAUUACGGUUAGUCAACGCCAGUACGCCAAAGAUGUGCUUAGCCACAGUGACCGUAAAUAUUUCUGUGGGAACUUAGAAGACCUCACUUCUAUCCAGGCUGGAAUACCUAGAGAUUCCAAGCUGGCAGAAGAUUGCAAAAUGGAGUUUCCUCAGUUCGUCAGACCCUGCCCGACUAGGAAGCGUGAUGUUGGAGAGACAGGAUUCUGUAGAUCAUGAACUGAGCUGACCCUGUGUCACGCCCACCUCGGCUGGCAAGGAAGACGCAACACAGUUGGAUUCUUCUCAACAGCUUUUACUGUAGGACACCUUCAUUGUUGACACAGGGACCACGAGCAGCAAAUUUGCUUGCCUUAUAUACACAACAGUAUGCUAAUAAUCUCUCAGGGAUUGGUGGGGCCCGGGUCACCCCACUAUCACCCCACUACUUGUCCUCCAGGGAUUGGCGGAGAAUGAAUCACCUCAGUAGCAUGGUAUCGCCCACUCAUUAGCAUAUUAACCGCCAACUGACACCAGGUGCAAAAACUGCACAUGUACAGUACCGUUGCUCACCACUGGAGGGCGCCCUACAUCUCCCCCUUUUUUGUUUAAUAAAAUGACUGGUCUAGAUCUGGGUGUCACGUCAAUCUUGUCAUUGCUCCUGUCUUAGGUCGUUCUCAUCCAAACUCGGCCUUACCCAUCUCUGGGUUACCCUAUCGCCACCGGGCCCCAUGUCUUGGGUUGGUCCGAGCUCGAGGAAAGUUGCCCGUCCCUGGAUACAAUGACUCCACAUGACUGUGACAAAAAUGAUCUAGGGUGAACUCUUGAUCUUUCAAAGAGGCCAGCCAUAUAUUGGGAGAAGCACCAUGUUCUAUAGCGGUCAUAGCCUGGUAAACAACCGCUUUGUGUCUGGCAUGUUCCCUUUUUAAACAGCCAAAAAGCCAGAGACAUACUC